rnacentral:tRNA from 1 species
GCCUUCGUGGUGUAGCGGUCAGCACGCUCGACGCGUAUUCGAGAGGUCCGUGGUUCGAGUCCUGGCGAGGGCA